rnacentral:rRNA from 1 species
GGAUAACUGACCGAAAGGUCUGCUAAUACCGGAUAAGCUUAUAAGGAUGCGAAUUUUUAUAAGGAAAGGUGACCUCUGACAUAAGUUACCGUAUUAGGAUGAGCCUGCGUACCAUUAGCUGGUUGGUGGGGUAACGGCCUACCAAGGCAACGAUGGUUAGCGGGUCUGAGAGGAUGAUCCGCCACACUGGAACUGGAACACGGACCAGACUCCUACGGGAGGCAGCAGUGAGGAAUUUUGCGCAAUGGGGGAAACCCUGACGCAGCGACGCCGCGUGGGUGAUGAAGGCUUUCGGGUCGUAAAGCCCUGUCAGAUGGGAAGAAGUGCAUGUAGGCUAAUAUCUUAUGUGUUUGACGGUACCAUCAGAGGAAGCACCGGCUAACUCCGUGCCAGCAGCCGCGGUAAUACGGAGGGUGCUAGCGUUGUUCGGAAUUACUGGGCGUAAAGGGCGCGUAGGCGGCUAUAUAAGUCAUCUGUGAAAGUCCACGGCUCAACCGUGGAAGAGCAUGUGAAACUGUAUGGCUUGAGUAUGGGAGGGGAAAGUGGAAUUCCCGGUGUAGAGGUGAAAUUCGUAGAGAUCGGGAGGAACACCUGUGGCGAAGGCGACUUUCUGGACCAAUACUGACGCUGAGGCGCGAAAGCGUGGGGAGCAAACAGGAUUAGAUACCCUGGUAGUCCACAGCUGUAAACGAUGAGAACUAGGUGUAGGGGGUGUUGACCCCUCCUGUGCCGGAGCUAACGCAUUAAGUUCUCCGCCUGGGGAGUACGGCCGCAAGGCUAAAACUCAAAGGAAUUGACGGGGGCCCGCACAAGCGGUGGAGUAUGUGGUUUAAUUCGACGCAACGCGAAGAACCUUACCUGGGCUUGACAUCCCGAGAAUUUUCUGGAAACAGAGAAGUGCCUCAUCCGAGGAGCUUGGAGACAGGUGCUGCAUGGCUGUCGUCAGCUCGUGUCGUGAGAUGUUGGGUUAAGUCCCGCAACGAGCGCAACCCUCGCCUUUAGUUGCCAUCAUUAAGUUGGGCACUCUAGAGGGACUGCCGGUGUCAAACCGGAGGAAGGUGGGGAUGACGUCAAGUCCUCAUGGCCUUUAUGUCCAGGGCUACACACGUACUACAAUGGUCGGUACAAAGGGCAGCUACCUUGCGAGAGGAAGCGAAUCCCAGAAAGCCGGUCUCAGUCCGGAUCGGAGUCUGCAACUCGACUCCGUGAAGUUGGAAUCGCUAGUAAUCGUGGAUCAGCAUGCUACGGUGAAUACGUUCCCGGGCCUUGUACACACCGCCCGUCACACCACGAAAGUCGGUUGUACCAGAAGUUGCUGGGCUAACCCGCAAGGGGGGCAGGCACCCAAGGUAUGGCUGGUAAUUGGGGUGAAGUCGUAACAAGGUA